rnacentral:lncRNA from 1 species
AAAUCCAGUUACUGUCAAUUGUACUCUAUGUAACACUGUAUUUGAUCAUGUAACUCCACUUACUGUCAAUUGUACUCUAUGCAGUUCAGCACAAACAUUUCAGCACUGCAACAUUUGUAUGCAAGAAUAAAUUGAUGUUUCUAGGACACCACCUGAAUAAAUUGAAACAAGAUAGCAUUCAUUAGGUUUUGAAACGAAAAAGACUUCUACUGUCUGUGGGAGUAUAAUGCAACAAGCAGAUGUUUCUAGAAUAAAUUGAAACAAGAUAGCAUUCAUUAGGUUCUGAAUAAAUUGAAGUAUCAUAUUUUCAGCAAGCAAGUUGGGCAUCACAGAAUCCUGAUAUGUGCUAGUUUUUUUUUUCAAAGGACUGGUCUGUAAAACAGUAGUAGUUGUAAUUAUCUUGACCAGAAUGUUCUUUCUUAUUGGAUCAUGAACAGUUACCUGAGCAAGUGGUGCACCGCCGCAAUGAUGUUUGGGAUUGAUCUCAACAUGAGUCCUCAACAAGAU